rnacentral:rRNA from 1 species
AAGUCGAGGGGCAGCAUGGUCUUAGCUUGCUAAGGCCGAUGGCGACCGGCGCACGGGUGAGUAACACGUAUCCAACCUGCCCUUUACUCGGGGAUAGCCUUUCGAAAGAAAGAUUAAUACCCGAUGGCAUAGUUCUUCCGCAUGGUAGAACUAUUAAAGAAUUUCGGUCAUCGAUGGGGAUGCGUUCCAUUAGGCAGUUGGUGAGGUAACGGCUCACCAAACCUUCGAUGGAUAGGGGUUCUGAGAGGAAGGUCCCCACAUUGGAACUGAGACACGGUCCAAACUCC